rnacentral:rRNA from 1 species
AAUGUCUGGGAAACUGCCUGAUGGAGGGGGAUAACUGCUGGAAACGGUAGCUAAUACCGCAUAACGUCGCAAGACCAAAGAGGGGGACCUUCGGGCCUCUUGCCAUCGGAUGUGCCCAGAUGGGAUUAGCUAGUAGGUGGGGUAACGGCUCACCUAGGCGACGAUCCCUAGCUGGUCUGAGAGGAUGACCAGCCACACUGGAACUGAGACACGGUCCAG